rfam:Trichosporon asahii var. asahii CBS 8904 unplaced genomic scaffold scaffold00034, whole genome shotgun sequence.
GCCUGCUUAGCUCAGUGGCCAGAGCGUUGGUUUUCGGCUAGCAUACCGAGACCGCCAACGGUCGCAGGUUCGACCCCUGUAGUAGGCU